rnacentral:rRNA from 1 species
GACGAACGCUGGCGGCGUGCUUAACACAUGCAAGUCGAACGGAAAGGCCCUGCUUUCGUGGGGUGCUCGAGUGGCGAACGGGUGAGUAACACGUGAGUAACCUGCCCUUGACUUUGGGAUAACUUCAGGAAACUGGGGUUAAUACCGGACAGGAGCUCCUGUUGCAUGGUGGGGGUUGGAAAGUUUCGGCGGGUGGGGAUGGACGCGCGGCUUACCAGCUUGUUGGUGGGGUAGUGGCUUACCAAGGCUUUGACGGGUAGCCGGCCUGAGAGGGUGACCGGCCACAAUGGGACUGAGAUACGGACCAGACUCCUACGGGAGGCAGCAGUGGGGAGUAUUGCACAAUGGGCGGGAGCCUGAUGCGGCAACGCCGCGUGCGGGAUGACGGCCUUCGGGUUGUAAACCGCUUUCGCCUGUGACGAAGCGUGAGUGACGGUAAUGGGUAAAGAAGCACCGGCUAACUACGUG